GGGUGGACAGGUUGAAGGGAGGACAGGGAAUGGGGAAAAAAUAAGAACCAAGAUACAUCAUGUACAGGUACAAGUACACAAUGAUAAAUGUAAAGGUAUUGUAUACCUAAAAUGUACCAAUAAAAGAAGUUAACAAAAAAAAAGCUUAUACAGGUUGCUUCUUAGAGCACUGAAUAUGUUUACAUGCAUUAUGAAUCUGCAAUAGGGAGUAUAAAGGCGAUCACAUCCACACACAUUUGACUAUGGAACUUGACUUACCCAGGAAGAAAGAUUUGCAGAACAUAUUUGAGGAUGACUCAUGGAAUUUACAACACCCAUCUCUUCUAGCUGUGCUCAUUCCCUGGCCUGCAACAUGCUCCCUUGUCCCCAUGCCCUUGAGCACUACUUUGAAAUCCUUUACAUCACUGCACAUAUCUGAUGAACUACUCACCACUCAAAACUUAUCUUAAUUAUUCCCUUCUUCCCAAAACCUUCCCCCAACUCCCUCCCCUAGAAUCAGCCACCCUUAUCUGAGAUUCCUUAGUACUCUGCAGAAACAUCCACUGAGUCAUGGUUUAUCAUGCUGUGUCAUAAUUAUAUGCUCCUAUGGCUGUCUUUGUGACCUCCUUAUGGGAUUGCCACCUCCUCAAGGGCAGCAGUCAGCCUGACUCAUCUCCAUGUCCUCAGCACAUGGCAUAAACUCAGGGAUUGGCAGCAUCAUAAGAACCUAUGGAGUGAGCAAUGUCUUACUUCAGAAGCUGAUGACCAAUGGAAAGCAAGGACCAAGAUGACACAGGAGCCAACUGUUAGCAGCACGAAGUGCUUUCCAGUCCCCACAGUUUGCAUUUGGCUGUGUGGUCCCAGUGUUUACAUAUGCAAGUGCCCCUUGCUUGGAAAGACUGUGUCCUACUUGGUAGAGUCCUUAGCUCAUUCCACUUCCUUCUAGACUCAAGACUCCGGAAAGGGCCAUUGCAGGACACUGAAGAUGUGGGGGUGGGGCAUCGGAUCACCUCUACAGAUACCCUCUGGGGUUGCAACAAUGUACAGCAAGAGUCACAUGUCCAGACGCCUACAGAGUCCAGGCAGCCUGUUUGUGCAUGAAACAUUUAAGGAGGUGGAGUCAGGCAUGACAGCAUGGAAGGAGUCCAACCACCACCAUCCAAGGCUGACCAGAAACCACUUUAAGCCUCUUCCAUCCUGCUACGGUUUUACACCUCCUAAAGAUAUAUAAUCAUGGGUUAAUAAGGCCCAGUAACCAUGGCUACACCCCAUAAUUCCCAACAUUCUUAUUUAUCCCUCCUCUUGACAAGCAGCCACCACUCUUCUCAAGCCUUGUCCCUGGCAGAUAGCCACAAUUCCUUUUCACUGAACUCUCCCCCUUGAAAGCCCCAUUUUGACCUUUUCUUUUCACAGCCCCCCUUUAUGCUCAUGGCCCUAUAAAAGACCUCAGAGCCUGUGCGAGAGUUAUUGGUCUGGUCUAAGUGCCAGGGCAGUUCCUGUCAGAUUUAUUCUGAAAUAAAACUGUGCUGUUGAGCUUGUACCUUUGUUUUUUCCUAACAGGUACAAAUAAAGACACAAAAAAGGACUUCCAGAACUGCUUCAGAAAGCAGCAAGAAUGAUAGGAUAAGUGUGCUGGAAGCGAGUGUUUUAAGGGGGCUUCCCCGCAGUGUUUUUUACUGCAAUCAUAUUUUAUUUAAACAUCCACACUGAAUUUUUCCAUAGCAUAGCAUAGGAAUGCUGAGUACUGUGGUUUGUUGGGAUUCCUCCUUAAAGAGAUACAUGUGUUGGAAAUUGAAUGCCCAAAUUUUUAUGUUGAGGUAUUUUAGUGACUUCACAAGAGUAGGAAGAGACACCUGGAUUUGCAUGUUCCCACUUUCUGGCCACGGUAGCAAGCGACCCUCAGCUGAUGCUCACACCAUGCCACUGGACUCAGCCUCCAGAACAGUGAGCUAAUA
rnacentral:lncRNA from 1 species